CAGUCUAGUCUGUGGCCACGUGCCUGUUCCUUCAUAAAGAAGAGCUUUAAGAGUAUUAUUCAUGGCAGACGAGGAGCCAAAGCUCAGCAAGAAUGCUUUGAAGAGAAACCUCAAAGCUGAGAA
rnacentral:lncRNA from 1 species